GGGAUGGCGGCAUGCUUUAACAUGCAGUCGAACGGCAGCGGGGGCUUCGGCCUGCCGGCGAGUGGCGAACGGGUGAGUAAUGCAUCGGAACGUACCCAGUCGUGGGGGAUAACACAUCGAAAGAUGUGCUAAUACCGCAUACGUCCUGAGGGAGAAAGCGGGGGCUCGCAAGACCUCGCGCGAUUGGAGCGGCCGAUGUCGGGUUAGCUAGUUGGUGGGGUAAAGGCCUACCAAGGCGACGAUCCGUAGCGGGUCUGAGAGGAUGAUCCGCCACACUGGGACUGAGACACGGCCCAGACUCCUACGGGAGGCGGCAGUGGGGAAUUUUGGACAAUGGGCGCAAGCCUGAUCCAGCCAUGCCGCGUGAGUGAAGAAGGCCUUCGGGUUGUAAAGCUCUUUCGGACGGGAAGAAAUCGUGGUGGCUAAUACCUGCCAUGGAUGACGGUACCGUAAGAAGAAGCACCGGCUAACUACGUGCCAGCAGCCGCGGUAAUACGUAGGGUGCGAGCGUUAAUCGGAAUUACUGGGCGUAAAGCGUGCGCAGGCGGUUUUGUAAGACAGCUGUGAAAUCCCCGGGCUUAACCUGGGAACUGCGGUUGUGACUGCAAGGCUAGAGUAUGGCAGAGGGGGGUGGAAUUCCACGUGUAGCAGUGAAAUGCGUAGAGAUGUGGAGGAACACCGAUGGCGAAGGCAGCCCCCUGGGCCAAUACUGACGCUCAUGCACGAAAGCGUGGGGAGCAAACAGGAUUAGAUACCCUGGUAGUCCACGCCCUAAACGAUGUCGACUAGUUGUUCGGAGAGGAGACUCUCUGAGUAACGCAGCUAACGCGUGAAGUCGACCGCCUGGGGAGUACGGUCGCAAGAUUAAAACUCAAAGGAAUUGACGGGGACCCGCACAGCGGUGGAUGAUGUGGAUUAUUCGAUGCAGCGCGAAAGACCUUACCUACCCUUGACAUGUCCAGACCCCGAGAGAUCGGGGGUGCUUCGGGAGCUGGAACACAGGUGCUGCAUGGCUGUCGUCAGCUCGUGUC
rnacentral:rRNA from 1 species